CGGGCGGUGUCAGUUGGUCUCACGCAAUCUCAGCUAAACCAGUCUGGGGGACUGGGGGUCGGAGGUUCAAAUCCUCUCGCUCCGACCA
rnacentral:tRNA from 1 species